rnacentral:lncRNA from 13 species
AUGUGUGUGUCAAAGCUCCUGAGUACUUCUUCUUUCCCAGCUAGGAGCCUCUUUGCCUUGCUGAGCUCUCGAAUCUUCUGUCUCUGCACAACAGAUUUCUGGAAAGACAAUGUCUUGGUACAGCACCCCCAGCCUUCCACCAAGGGAUUCCAGCAGAUGUUCACUCCCAGCUCAGCUUGGAUAGGACCACCAGGGACCCUGCCUUUGGUCUCCACAGUCACUUCCUGGGUGGUCUCAAAUAGUCAAGAUGCCCUGCUGGGAGGAGCUUCUAUUCCUGCUCUGUGGAAGAACUGGGCAUGCCAGAUGCCCAGAAGGACAGCAAGAUUUGACUGGACCGUGCCUGAUGAGAUUACGACGUCUAAAGAAAGAACACAUCGUGAGAAGGAGAUUUCUGCUCAGUUAUGAACAAGGCAACCACAUUCAAUAAAUACUUAUUGAGUACCUACUGUGUUCCA